rnacentral:rRNA from 1 species
AGCGAACGCUGGCGGCAGGCUUAACACAUGCAAGUCGAACGGGCACUUCGGUGCUAGUGGCAGACGGGUGAGUAACGCGUGGGAACGUGCCUUUCGGUUCGGAAUAAUCCAGGGAAACUUGGACUAAUACCGGAUACGCCCUUCGGGGGAAGGAUUUAUCGCCGAAAGAUCGGCCCGCGUCUGAUUAGCUAGUUGGUGAGGUAAAGGCUCACCAAGGCGACGAUCAGUAGCUGGUCUGAGAGGAUGAUCAGCCACACUGGGACUGAGACACGGCCCAGACUCCUACGGGAGGCAGCAGUGGGGAAUAUUGGACAAUGGGCGAAAGCCUGAUCCAGCCAUGCCGCGUGAGUGAUGAAGGCCUUAGGGUUGUAAAGCUCUUUUGUCCGGGAAGAUAAUGACUGUACCGGAAGAAUAAGCCCCGGCUAACUUCGUGCCAGCAGCCGCGGUAA